UAAUACUAAAGGGCUUUAACUGUAUUUUGACCAGGAUCCAAGGAAGGGCUCCUCCCGUCAUCUUGGCAGGGAUCCCACCUCUCUGAACCCCAUCCAAGUCUCAGACAAGCCCAUCCAUCUGCUUUCCAGGACUGCCUGAACACAUUGCCAUGCUCAGUCUCGGACGUUAUAGGGACAGCUUGGUGGUGAAAAGGCACUGUGAAGGACCUGGAUAUGGUUGACCUCCCUGUGCUUCUUGAAGCGGUUUCCGUGGGUAGACUGGCUGCUCCCCUCCUCUGGAAAGGGUUUAUACGGUGCUCCAGAAAUUCACAAAGGAAGAAGAUGUCCACAUUUCAUAAGAUUUUAUCAUCUAAUUCUGUACCAGUGAAUACUACUCAAAAACAGGUGUCAAGUAGCAAGGGAGAUGAAUGCAAGUUAGAGUGCGGCAUAAGGAGAAUAUCUCUCUCACAGUUGUACUUAACAGUUUUGAAACCUUCAGCCCAUCAUUUCACAUCUCUGAACUAA
rnacentral:lncRNA from 1 species